UUCAUGUCUCUGGUUGAUUGUUCUGC
rnacentral:piRNA from 1 species